GUAUUCCCUUUGGCAGCACAUAUAGUAAAAUUGGAACAAUACAGAGAUUAGCAUGGCCCCUGUGCAAGGAUGAUACAGAAAUUCGUGAGAAGUCAACUAUAAUG